rnacentral:tRNA from 1 species
GCCUGGGUGGCUCAGUCGGUUGAGCGUCCGACUUCGGCUCAGGUCGUGAUCUCGCGGUCCGUGAGUUCGAGCCCCGCGUCAGGCU